UAGAACUUGUUUGAAAUGUAGAACUUUGUGAUUGGUUUGUAAUAGAAAAAAAGCUAUUAAAAUAAGUAGAAUUUAAAAUCUUGUUUAACAAACUCUAACUAAUUCUAAUCUAUAAAUAUACUUACAGCCGAUCUUAGAAUAUCACGAUCAUCUUGAAAGAAGGAAUCUCUUGAACUCUGACUUGGUGGAACUACAGAUCCAGGGCUUGAAGGUGGUGAAUCUAUGAUGCUUGAAUUUGGGCUUGAUGGUGAACUAGCUGAUGCAGCGAUAUGACAGCAGAGGAGAUCCUAACUGUCCAUUAUGGACAGUUUAGGGAAUAUGUGGCAGAAUGCAGCCACGAACUGGAAGAGGAGGAAGAAGAGGAGGAAGAAGAAAUAGAAGAAGAUGAAGGGAUCGAGGCCGAUUUAGAAGAAAAUUGAUGGCUGCCCCUCUCCUCCUCCUCUACUAACGUUAAGUAUUAAGUUAUAGGAUUAUAUACAUG